rnacentral:tRNA from 1 species
AAUGGGUUGGCAGAUAAAUGUAAAUAAUUUAGGAUUAUUAUAUGAAUUAAUUUCACCCAUUA